rnacentral:rRNA from 1 species
GUAGGGUGCGAGCGUUAUCCGGAAUCAUUGGGCGUAAAGAGCUCGUAGGCGGUUCAGCAAGUCGGCUGUGAAAUUCCGAGGCUCAACCUCGGAACUGCAGUCGAUACUGCUGUGACUCGAGUCCGGUAGAGGAGAAUGGAAUUCCCGGUGUAGCGGUGAAAUGCGCAGAUAUCGGGAGGAACACCAGUAGCGAAGGCGGUUCUCUGGGCCGGCACUGACGCUGAGGAGCGAAAGCGUGGGUAGCAAACAGGAUUAGAUACCCUGGUAGUCCACGCCGUAAACGUUGGAUACUAGGUGUGGGGUUCCGACCAACGGUCCCCGUGCCGAAGCUAACGCAUUAAGUAUCCCGCCUGGGGAGUACGGCCGCAAGGCUA